UGUUCUUAUCAGAACAGGCACUUGAAGACAUUAUCUGCUAAUGAUAAGACUCAUGUAACACAGGUGUCUUCUCCCUUCAGGCUGUUGCACAACUAAUGAUCACUGAUAUGGGAUUAAAGCAGUUUUGGAUCAUCCAGCAGGACCACUGGAAAGAAGCCAUGCCUGUACCUCACCAGUCGUUGCCAGCUGUUCAAGACUGAGCUGAUGGAUGCAGGGUAUCAUCCUGAAAGAAGGCGCACACAGGAGCUUGUGGUGGAAAUAAACCCAUGCAGGUGUCAGAAGCCAGACACUGAGACCAAAGCAAGCUUCUGAACAAAGUGUGAGGUACAAAGCUUGUUCUCCCAAAAAAUGAGACACCCUUUCUCUGUCCUACUGAGAAUCCACUGCCAGAAAUGGAAUGAAUAUGCUCUUCCACCUGAGGAGAUCCCAUGGAUUUAUUUUUCCCUAGCAAAAAGAAUCUUUGUGCUCCUUAUUCCCAGUCAUAUGGUCAAAUUAAUGUGUAUGUCUUUUUCUGCUUCACACUAAACUCUGCUUUCUAAACUUUGCAAA